AUCCAGCUGAUGAAUCCCAAACAGGAUGAAAUGCGCGGUAAACUGGAU
rnacentral:hammerhead_ribozyme from 1 species